AUUGAACGCUGGAGGCAGGCCUAACACAUGCAAGUCGAACGAGUGGCGGACGGGUGAGUAAUGUCUGGGAAACUGCCUGAUGGAGGGGGAGAACUACUGGAAACGGUAGCUAAUACCGCAUACCAUCAGAUGUGCCCAGAUGGGAGUAGCUAGUUGGUGGGGUAACGGCUCACCAGGGCGACGAUCCCUCGCUGGGCUGAGAGGAUGACCAGCCACACUGGAAAGGAGACACGGUCCAGACUCCUAAGGGAGGCAGCAGUGGGGAAUAGUGCACAAGGGGCGCAAGCCUGAUGCAGCCAUGCCGCGUGUAUGAAGAAGGCCUGCGGGUUGUAAAGUACUUUCAGCGGGGAGGCGUUACCCGCAGAAGAAGCACCGGCUAACUCCGUGCCAGCCGCCGCGGUAAUAC
rnacentral:rRNA from 1 species